rnacentral:rRNA from 1 species
AUUGAACGCUGGCGGCAGGCUUAACACAUGCAAGUCGAACGAGUGGCGGACGGGUGAGAAAUGUCUGGGAAACUGCCCGCUGGAGGGGGAUAACAACUGGAAACGGUAGCUAAUACCGCAUACCAUCGGAUGUGCCCAGAUGGGAUUAGCUUGUAGGGGAGGUAACGGCUAUCCUAGGCGACGAUCCCUAGCUGGUCUGAGAGGAUGACCAGCAACACUGGAACUGAGACACGGUCCAGACUCCUACGGGAGGCAGCAGGGGGGAAUAUUGGACAAUGGGCGAAAGCCUGAUGCAGCCAUUCCGCGUGUAUGAAGAAGGCCUUCGGGUUGUAAAGUACUUUCAGCGGGGAGGCGUUACCCGCAGAAUAAGCACCGGCUAACUCCGUGCCAGCAGCCGCGGUAAUAC